rnacentral:rRNA from 1 species
GAUGAACGCUGGCGGCGUGCCUAAUACAUGCAAGUCGAGCGAACGGACGAGAAGCUUGCUUCUCUGAUGUUAGCGGCGGACGGGUGAGUAACACGUGGAUAACCUACCUAUAAGACUGGGAUAACUUCGGGAAACCGGAGCUAAUACCGGAUGAUAUUUUGAACCGCAUGGUUCAAAAGUGAAAGACGGUCUUGCUGUCACUUAUAGAUGGAUCCGCGCUGCAUUAGCUAGUUGGUAAGGUAACGGCUUACCAAGGCAACGGUGCAUAGCCGACCUGAGAGGGUGCUCGGCCACACUGGAACUGAGACAAGGUCCAGACUCCUACGGGAGGCAGCAGUAGGGAAUCUUGCGCAAUGGGCGCAGGCCUGACGGAGCAACGCCGCGUGAGUGAUGAAGGUCUUCGGAUCGUAAAACUCUGUUAUUAGGGAAGAACAUAUGUGUAAGUAACUGUGCACAUCUUGACGGUACCUAAGCAGAAAGCCACGGCUAACUACGUG